GGCAAUUCUGGUGCUCAGUUUGAUUAUUUACCCAAGUGGUUUAUCCGGGACUGUGAAAUAUGAUUCGAGAAGGCUAGAAUGAAGCGAGCGGCCCUGGGGGAUGAGGCACCUUGGAUUGUAAAUCAAUCUUCUCCUUACAGAGACUCCUGUGGUUAAACAUUACAAGGUGAAGAGUGGCCCCCUGGUGGGACACCUUGCACAAUUGCCAUGUUAGCCGAGAAUAUUGUGUUUCUGGAAAUGCUCGGAUGGAAGAUAGAGAAUCCCCUCUUGGGACUGUGUUUUCUGCACGUGGGAGCAUCUGUUUACAGGGAGGAGGUGAAAUUUGUUCUUACCUGGAAAUAAUUGGAACUAUGCCUUGUCAGAAGCCAUGAAAAUAGUGAGUCCUUGGAUGUCUGGGCUCCCAAUCCUGAAUUUGAGGUAUGUGUGAAGACCGUUCUUCAGCUUCUCUGUGUCUCAUUCAAGAUUCAUAGGACUUCAGUGCUUAGUAAACAUCUUGGGGACAAUUUAUUCCUACC
rnacentral:lncRNA from 1 species